UCCUGAUGACUACCAAUACCGCUGUGAAGUGCCAAAGACUGACUGCUUGGACCCAAGAUUCUCACUGCAAAAAGACCACUCCACAUUGGGAGAAUUCUUCUACUGCUGAUUAGC